GUGUCUGUGGGCGGGGCUUUUCAGGAGCCCUCUCCUCAAACAGGAAGUAAGCUGCGUGUAGACUCCAAGAACUACAAAUUAUUUUGUUAUCUGAUCGAUAUGAAAUACGUUGAGAUUUUAAGAAGUCACCAUCACAAAGAGCCUCAGCGAUGAGAGAAAGAACCGAGUAGAAAAACCACAGAAAGCUGUAUGAGAAGGAAAAACAGCCAGUGCAAUAAAAGGUCAAUGGGAACAACUAACUUCGUAUUUUUUCCAUUUUUCUGUCAUCCUGUAUGUCUUGUAAAUUAAAAUGAGCGAAAAUAAAA